rfam:Nomascus leucogenys chromosome 7b, whole genome shotgun sequence.
AUAAAGGUUUUUUUAAAAACUAUCAUUUUUUUCUGAUAAUAAUGG